UUAAAAAGCAGCUGGGACCUGGGGUUUCUCCCCCAGUACCUGGGUCACCUCAGCCCAGAGCUGGCGGCAGGCCCCCAGCCCCUCAUGUCAGAGCCCCCUGUGUACUGUAACCUGGUGGACCUUCGCCUCUGUCCUCGGUCCCCACCCCCAGGCCCUGCAUGCCCCCUGCUGCAGAGGCUGGAUGCCUGGGAGCAGCACCUGGACCCCAACUCUGGACGCUGCUUCUACAUAAAUUCACUGACUGGCUGCAAGUCCUGGAAGCCCCCGCGCCGCAGUCGCAGCGAGACGAACCCUGGCUCCAUGGAGGGGACACAGACCCUGAAGAGGAACAAUGAUGUCCUGCAACCUCAGGCAAAGGGCUUCAGAUCUGACACAAGGACCCCAGAACCUCUUGACCCACAGGGUUCACUCAGCCUCAGCCAACGCACCUCGCAGCUUGAUCCUCCAGCCUUGCAGGCCCCUCGACCUCUGCCGCAGCUCCUGGACGACCCCCAUGUGAAUCUCCCAUUUCUUUGUGAAGGCCAAGAUCCUCCCUGCCCCACCUCCCCCCCACCCCCGUUUUCCUGCUCCACAUAAACACCUUCCUCUUUCUGAAUAUCCUCUUACCCAGCCCUCCCCCAGCAACUUUAAGGGACUUCACUCCUGGGAGACCCCCUAGGGAAAGCCGUGGCCACUGUGGAGGGCGCAGGGUGACUUACAGAUACCAUUCCCUCCACUUCCCAGGAGGUGGAAAAGUCGGGUCUGCUCAACAUGACCAAGAUUGCCCAAGGGGGGCGCAAGCUCAGGAAGAACUGGGGCCCGUCUUGGGUGGUGUUAACGGGUAACAGCCUGGUGUUCUACCGAGAGCCACCGCCGACAGCGCCCUCCUCGGGCUGGGGGCCAGCGGGUAGCCGGCCGGAAAGUAGCGUGGACCUGCGCGGGGCGGCUCUGGCGCACGGCCGCCACCUGUCCAGCCGCCGCAACGUCCUGCACAUCCGCACGGUCCCUGGCCACGAGUUCCUGCUGCAGUCGGACCACGAGACAGAGCUGCGAGCCUGGCACCGCGCGCUGCGGACUGUCAUCGAGCGGCUGGUUAGAUGGGUGGAGGCCCGGAGGGAGGCUUGGGCCGGCCGGGAUCAAGGGAGUGGGGAUCGGGAGAACCCCCUGGAGCUGCGUCUGUCGGGCUCUGGACCCGCAGAGCUGGCGGAGCUGAGCGCCGGGGAGGACGAAGAAGAGGAGUCGGAGCCGGUGUCCAAGCCGUUGCUGCGCCUCAGCAGCCGCCGGAGCUCCAUUCGGGGGCCCGAAGGCACCGAGCAGAACCGCGUGCGCAACAAACUAAAGCGGCUCAUCGCGAAGAGACCGCCCUUACAAAGCCUACAGGAGCGGGGUCUGCUCCGAGAUCAGGUGUUCGGCUGCCAGUUGGAAUCACUCUGCCAGCGGGAAGGAGACACGGUGCCCAGCUUUGUGCGGCUCUGCAUUGCUGCUGUGGAUAAAAGAGGUCUAGAUGUGGAUGGCAUUUAUCGGGUGAGCGGGAACUUGGCAGUGGUCCAGAAGCUUCGCUUUCUGGUGGACAGAGAGCGUGCGGUCACCUCCGAUGGGAGGUAUGUGUUCCCAGAACAGCCAGGACAAGAAGGUCGGCUAGAUUUGGACAGUACUGAGUGGGAAGACAUUCAUGUGGUCACCGGAGCCCUGAAGCUUUUUCUCCGGGAGCUGCCUCAGCCUCUGGUGCCAUCACUGCUGCUGCCCCAUUUCCGUGCUGCCCUUGCACUCUCCGAAUCAGAGCAGUGCCUCUCUCAGAUACAAGAAUUAAUAGGCUCAAUGCCAAAACCCAACCAUGACACUCUACGGUACCUCCUGGAGCAUUUAUGCAGGGUGAUAGCACACUCAGAUAAGAAUCGCAUGACACCCCACAACCUGGGAAUUGUGUUUGGACCAACCCUGUUUCGGCCAGAGCAGGAGACAUCUGACCCAGCAGCCCAUGCUCUCUACCCAGGGCAGCUGGUCCAGCUGAUGCUCACCAACUUCACCAGCCUCUUCCCCUGACGCAGGGAAGGAAGAAGAGAAAACAUAUUUCCAGUCAUCUCUGGUGGUGAGAGGCUGGUGUUCUGUUUUGAGGACAUCCCUUUAAAUCUCCCAAAUGACUGUCUCUAUCUUCAUGAGUGUGACUUGAGGUGUUGGGAUGGGUGAGGGAGCUUCCUUUAAGAGGAAAGUGAGUGGAUUAACCCCUGCUUCUCUUCUUGUUCCCUGUUAUCAUUCCUCCCCAACAUAAUAAUACAUAAAGCGGCAUGUUAUUU
rnacentral:sRNA from 1 species